rnacentral:tRNA from 1 species
GGGAAGGUGGCUCAGUGGUAGAGCGCUUGCCUAGCAUGCAUGAGGCCCUGCCCU